rnacentral:pre_miRNA from 1 species
UCCUCAUUGUACAUGCUGUGUGUAUUUGCCACGUACACAGCGCAUGCAAUGUGGACA